GUAACAAGGUCUCCGUUGGUGAACCAGCGGAGGGAUCAUUACCGAGUUUUCAACUCCCUAACCCUUCUGUGAACCUACCUAUCGUUGCUUCGGCGGACUCGCCCCAGCCCGGACGCGGACUGGACCAGCGGCCCGCCGGGGACCUCAAACUCUUGUAUUCCAGCAUCUUCUGAAUACGCCGCAAGGCAAAACAAAUGAAUCAAAACUUUCAACAACGGAUCUCUUGGCUCUGGCAUCGAUGAAGAACGCAGCGAAACGCGAUAAGUAAUGUGAAUUGCAGAAUCCAGUGAAUCAUCGAAUCUUUGAACGCACAUUGCGCCCGCCAGCAUUCUGGCGGGCAUGCCUGUUCGAGCGUCAUUUCAACCCUCGACCUCCCCUUGGGGAGGUCGGCGUUGGGGACCGGCAGCACACCGCCGGCCCUGAAAUGGAGUGGCGGCCCGUCCGCGGCGACCUCUGCGCAGUAAUACAGCUCGCACCGGAACCCCGACGCGGCCACGCCGUAAAACACCCAACUUCUGAACGUUGACCUCGAAUCAGGUAGGACUACCCGCUGAACUUAAGCAUAUCU
rnacentral:rRNA from 1 species